UACGGGGGGGGCAAGCGUUGUUCGGAAUUACUGGGCGUAAAGGGCUCGUAGGUGGCCUACUAAGUCAGACGUGAAAUCCCUCGGCUUAACCGGGGAACUGCGUCUGAUACUGGAUGGCUUGAGUUCGGGAGAGGGAUGCGGAAUUCCAGGUGUAGCGGUGAAAUGCGCAGAUAUCAGGAGGAACACCGAUGGCGAAGGCAGGUCUCUGGGCCAUAACUGACGCUGAGAAGCGAAAGCAUGGGGAGCGAACAGG
rnacentral:rRNA from 1 species